rnacentral:rRNA from 1 species
ACGAACGCUGGCGGCGUGCUUAACCCAUGCCAGUCGAACGGAAAGGCCCUGCUUUUGUGGGGUGCUCGAGUGGCGAACGGGUGAGUAACACGUGAGUAACCUGCCCUUGACUUUGGGAUAACUUCAGGAAACUGGGGCUAAUACCGGAUAGGAGCUCCUGCUGCAUGGUGGGGGUUGGAAAGUUUCGGCGGUUGGGGAUGGACUCGCGGCUUAUCAGCUUGUUGGUGGGGUAGUGGCUUACCAAGGCUUUGACGGGUAGCCGGCCUGAGAGGGUGACCGGCCACAUUGGGACUGAGAUACGGCCCAGACUCCUACGGGAGGCAGCAGUGGGGAAUAUUUCACAAUGGGCGGAAGCCUGAUGCAGCAACGCCGCGUGCGGGAUGACGGCCUUCGGGUUGUAAACCGCUUUCGCCUGUGACGAAGCGUGAGUGACGGUAAUGGGUAAAGAAGCACCGGCUAACUACGUG